GUCCCUAUUCCCUACAUAGUGCACUAAAUUAGACCAGAGUUAUGGAACGGAAUUCCCUUUUUAUGCACUUUGACCUUGAACUGAAGCAUGAGAAUAUUCACCUGCUACACACCUGUUAUUCACCUGCUACACACCUGUUAUUCACCUGUUCACCUGCUAUACACCUGUUAUUCACCUGCUACACCUGUUAUUCACCUGUUAUACACCUGUUAUUCACCUGCUACACACCUGUUAUUCACCUGUUCACCUGCUACACACCUGUUAUUCACCUGUUAUUCACCUGCUACACACCUGUUAUUCACCUGUUAUACACCUGUUAUACACCUGUUAUUCACCUGCUAUACACCUGUUAUUCACCUGCUAUACACCUGUUAUUCACCUGCUAUACACCUGUUAUUCACCUGCUAUACACCUGUUAUUCACCUGCUAUACACCUGUUAUUCACCUGCUACACACCUGUUAUUCACCUGUUAUACACCUGCUACACACCUGCUAUACACCUGUUAUUCACCUGCUACACACCUGUUAUACACCUGUUAUUCACCUGCUAUACACCUGCUAUACACCUGUUAUACACCUGCUAUACACCUGUUAUCCUGCUACACACCUGUUAUUCACCUGCUAUUCACCUGCUAUACACCUGCUACACACCUGUUAUUCUCCUGCUAUUCACCUGGUAUACACCUGUUAUUCUUCUGCUAUAUACCUGCUACACACCUGUUAUACACCUGCUAUACACCUGCUACUCACCUGUUAUACACCUGCUAUACACCUGAUACACCUGCUACUCACCUGCUACACACCUGCUACUCACCUGCUAUACACCUGUUAUUCUCCUGCUAUACACCUGAUUCACCUGUUAUACAUCUGCUAUUCACCUGCUAUACACCUGCUAUUCACCUGCUAUUCACCUGCUAUACACCUGCUAUUCACCUGCUAUUCAUUGGGGGUGGAGAUCUAAUACAUGAAGGUGUGGCGGAGCCGUGUCUACAGAUUCUGACCUUGUUGAUGCCUUCUUAACAUGCAUGACACCAAGGCUUUUACGGUUACAGAAGUCAACAAAUGAGAGAGCCUGGGGAAUGGGAGUGGAGCUAGGCACUGCAGGGCCUGGGUUAACCUCUACAUCACCAGACCAAGACCUCCCUGACCAAGGCCCUUCUCCCUUGAUUGUUCAGUUUGGCCAACGGGCCAGCUUCCAAACUUCUUUCAUUUAAGAAUGAUAGAGGCCUCUGUCUUCUUUGGGAAAUUCAAAGCUGCUGAAAUGUUUUGGUACCCUUCCCAAGAUCUGUGCCUCGACACAAUCCUUUUUCAGAGCUCUACGGACAAUUCCUUUCGACAUCAUGGCUUGGGUUUUGCUCUGACAUGCACUGUCAACUAUGAUACCUUAUGUAGACAGGUGUGUGCCUUUCCAAAUCAUGUCCAAUCAAUUGAAUUUACCCCAGGUGGACUCCAAUUAAGUUGCAGAAACAUCUCAAGGAUGAUCAAUGGAAAUAGGAUCCACCUGAGCUCAAUUUCAAGUCUCAUAGCAAAGGGUCUGAAUAUUUAUGUAAAUUUAAUAAGGCAUUAUCGUGGGUAGUUUGACUAGGUUUUUAUUUAAGGGGUCUGAAUACUUUCCGAAUGCACUGUAAAUUACACUGAGCAAAAGAGGAUGUUUUUGGAUUUUCACCCUCCAGACAUUAUUCCCUAAAGGUCUUGAUGAGAUAGAUGCCCAAGCAUGUUAUGUUGUAAAUGUGAACAUCAAUUAAUGCCGCCACUUCAGCCACUCUGGUGGUUUUUCCUGCACUGUACCCAUUGAUUACGUACUUGAUAGGUUGAUGUCCUCAUUGUGUUUUUACAGUCUUUUUUAAUAAGUUUAGAAUACUUAUUAAAUACACAUUGUUAUAUUUGAUAACACUUGGUUAUUUUCUUAAUAAAGAGCAGCGAACCUAGCAAGAGCAGUGUGUGGGUUUCUUUUUUCUCUCAGGAUGUAACAACAAAAUGUGGAAUAAGUCAAGGGCUAUGAAUACUUUCUGAAGGCACUGUACACGCACUACAUCACCACACACUACAUCACCACACACUACAUCACCACACACUACAUCACCACACACUACAUCACCACACACGCACUACAUAACCCCACACGCACUACGUAACCCCACACGCACUACAUCACCACACACUACAUAACCACACACUACAUCACCACACACUACAUAACCACACGCACUACAUAACCCCACACGCACUACAUAACCACACACUACAUAACCACGCACUACAUAACCACGCACUACAUAACCCCACACUACAUAACCCCACACUACAUAACCACGCACUACAUAACCACGCACUACAUAACCCCACACGGACUACAUCACCGCACACUACAUCACCACACACUACAUAACCACGCACUACAUAACCCCACACGCACUACAUCACCGCACACUACAUAACCACACACUACAUAACCACGCACUACAUAACCCCACACGCACUACAUCACCGCACACUACAUCACCACACACUACAUAACCACGCACUAC
rnacentral:lncRNA from 1 species